rnacentral:rRNA from 1 species
UACGGAGGGAGCUAGCGUUGUUCGGAAUUACUGGGCGUAAAGCGCGCGUAGGCGGCUUUAUAAGUCGGGGGUGAAAGCCUGUGGCUCAACCACAGAAUUGCCUUCGAUACUGUAGAGCUUGAGACCGGAAGAGGUAAGUGGAACUGCGAGUGUAGAGGUGAAAUUCGUAGAUAUUCGGAAGAACACCAGUGGCGAAGGCGGCUCACUGGCCCGGUACUGACGCUGAGGUGCGAAAGCGUGGGGAGCAAACAGG